CCUACGGGAGGCAGCAGUGAGGAAUAUUGGUCAAUGGGCGGAAGCCUGAACCAGCCAAUUAGCGUGCAGGAUGACGGCCCUACGGGUUGUAAACUGCUUUUAUACGGGAAUAACGCGCCUUACGUGUAGGUCUUUGCAUGUACCGUAUGAAUCAGGACCGGCUAAUUCCGUGCCAGCAGCCGCGGUGAUACGGAAGGUCCGGGCGUUAUCCGGAUUUAUUGGGGUUAAAGGGAGCGUAGGCCGCAUGUCAAUCGUGCUGUGAAAUGUCCGGGCUCAACCCGGGCCUUGCAGCGCGAACUGGCGUGCUUGAGUCCGCGGAAAGCAGGCGGAAUUCGUCGUGUAGCGGUGAAAUGCUUAGAUAUGACGAAGAACCCCGAUUGCGAAGGCAGCUUGCUGCAGCGGAACUGACGCUGAUGCUCGAAAGCGCGGGUAUCGAACAGGAUUAGAUACCCGGGUAGUC
rnacentral:rRNA from 1 species